AACCCCUGUGAACAUACCACUUGUUGCCUCGGCGGAUCAGCCCGCUCCCGGUAAAACGGGACGGCCCGCCAGAGGACCCCUAAACUCUGUUUCUAUAUGUAACUUCUGAGUAAAACCAUAAAUAAAUCAAAACUUUCAACAACGGAUCUCUUGGUUCUGGCAUCGAUGAAGAACGCAGCAAAAUGCGAUAAGUAAUGUGAAUUGCAGAAUUCAGUGAAUCAUCGAAUCUUUGAACGCACAUUGCGCCCGCCAGUAUUCUGGCGGGCAUGCCUGUUCGAGCGUCAUUUCAACCCUCAAGCACAGCUUGGUGUUGGGACUCGCGUUAAUUCGCGUUCCCCAAAUUGAUUGGCGGUCACGUCGAGCUUCCAUAGCGUAGUAGUAAAACCCUCGUUACUGGUAAUCGUCGCGGCCACGCCGUUAAACCCCAACUUCUGAAUGUUGACCUCGGAUCAGGUAGGAAUACCCGCUGAACUUAAGCAUAUCAAUA
rnacentral:rRNA from 1 species